CACGUAGGAGGCGAACGUUAUCCGGAUUUACUGGGCGUAAAGCGCGUGUAGGUGGUACUGUAAGUAGGGCGUGAAAGCUCCUGGCUCAACUGGGAGAGGCCGUUCUAAACUACAGAACUAGAGGAUGGUAGAGGGAGGUGGAAUUCCAGGUGUAGCGGUGGAAUGCGCAGAUAUCUGGAGGAACACCGGUGGCGAAGGCGGCCUCCUGGACCAUUCCUGACACUCAGACGCGAAAGCUAGGGUAGCAAACGGGAUUAGAUACCCGUUAGUCCCUGAG
rnacentral:rRNA from 1 species